CCAGUUCCGUGGAGAAAAAUCUGGGCUGAACUUACAUGUGGUUGUGUUCCUUUGAGCCCCAGAGCACAGAAGGAAAAUGCCCAAGACCGACGGCAGUGAGGAUCAAGGUUCUUGCUGGCUCCCAAACCCAGAGAACUGCGGGGACACUGGCCACCUAGGGUCGUGGAUCCUUACCUCUCGGGGACACCCACCAGAACCCAUCGGUGGAGGGAUCUCAGAACACAGAGGAGGGAAUAGAGAUCCAGCACUCCUCUGCUCCCUUGGAGAUGGAAGGCAGAUGGAAUUAACAGGGAACCGUUUUCUGACGUGUCACGGCCAGGAGUUGGCAGUUACCCACUUUCAGGUGCAGCGACGGUGUCCCCACCUGCAGGGAUGGUGAGGCGCAUCCAAUCCCGGGGCUCUGAUCAGGUGAGAAGUCCAAUGAAACCCAAACUUGUCCUCUGGACAAGGCUGCUCCGUGAAAUAGAGCUGCCCCUCAGUGAGUCUGGCUGUCUCUCCGGGCCCCUCGCCAAGCCUCAGAAGCACCUUAACUCGAAGCCCUGCUGAUUCAAAGCACCGCCUUCUGUUCUGGGCAAGCCUCGGCCAGGAAAAGUCAGAUGGAAAAUCUAAGGCUCUCGCUCAUGGAGCACGUCAGGAACAGAGCUCAGGAGAGAAGCCGUCUCUCUAUGCCCGCGUAAGUAGAUGGCUGUGCCUCCACCUGAAGGGUCCCUCAGAAGUAUGUCACCUCAAAAAUUCUGGACUCAGGGGGCACCUGGGUGGCUCAGUCGGUUGAGCGUCCGACUUCAGCUCAG